UAACACGUGGGUAACCUGCCCGGAAGUGGGGAAUACCUCGGGGAAACUCGAGCUAAUACCGCAUGACAUCUUCGGGACGACAGUCCUGACGAUCAAAGCGGGGUCGCAAGAUCUCGCGCUACCGGAUGGGCCCGCGCCCGAUUAGCUAGUUGGUGAGGUAACGGCUCACCAAGGCUUCGAUCCGUAACUGGUCUGAGAGGACGACCAGUCACACCGGAACUGAGACACGGUCCGG
rnacentral:rRNA from 1 species